UAAAGGCGGAGGACUAGUGUCCAAGGAGCCCUAGAACAUCAACAUUUGCCUAAUCCACUAGUAAUGGAGGUUAUGGGCGCCUCAGCCAGAAAAAUACUCAGAGCCUCUCGGCCUGAGGCAAUUUGCAUAACAUUAAGACUUUCCAACAAAGUGCAUUAUGCUCUUAUUGGUUUAGUUUCUCACCAGGUCUCGUGUAGCUUUGGUAUCGCACACAGAAGAAAGCAUCUAAACGUCAAUGUGGUUCCUGUUUGGAUUAAAAACCUACUGAAAUACCCUACUACAUGGUUAUUGUCAGUGGAGGAGGACGACGAUAAAUUCGAUGAAGAGGAUUGGAUUUCUCAGACUGCGCUAGCUGGAUUUCUCAGAACGUCUGUAUAUUACAUCUGCUAA
rnacentral:lncRNA from 13 species